AUUUAGGCGUUUUCAGGGUGAUUUCGGCAGGGCACAGAAUGUUAUGGGGGAUUGAGAUUAAAGCCAUAGGAGUGGAAAGGUCCCCCCUGUUGCGGGGGGCGUGGCGUACGGCUCAGUAACACGUAGUCAACCUGCCCUGGAGACAAGGACAACCCCGGGAAACUGGGAUUAAUCCUUGAUAGGGCAUCUCAUCUGGAAGGAGAGAUGGCUUAAAGGGGUACGCGGGCUUCUUCCGCGAAUCUGCUCCAGGAUGGGACUGCGUCCGAUCAUGCUGUUGGCGGGGUAAUGGCCCACCAAACCUGUAACCGGUACGGGCCUUGAGAGAGGUGGCCCGGAGAUGGACACUGAGAGAAGGGUCCAGGUCCUACGGGGCGCAGCAGGCGCGAAACCUUCGCAAUGCGCGAAAGCGUGACGAGGUUAAUCCGAGUGGCCCCCGCUGAGGGGGUCUUUUGUCAGCUGUAAAUAGGCAGGCGAAUAAGGGGAGGGCAAGCCUGGUGUCAGCCGCCGCGGUAAUACCAGCUCCUCGAGUGGUCGGGGCGAUUAUUGGGCCUAAAGCAUCCGUAGCCGGUUCCGUAGGUCCUCUGUUAAAUCCAACCGCUCAACGGUUGACCUGCAGAGGAUACCGCGGGACUAGGAGGCGGGAGAGGCGGACGGUAUUCCGCGUGUAGGGGUAAAAUCCUUUGAUCCGCGGAGGACCACCAGAUUGCUUGCGGUUAACGACCACAAGCAUGGUGAAUGGCGAAGGCGGUCCGCCAGAACGCGCUCGACGGUGAGGGAUGAAAGCUGGGGGAGCGAACCGGAUUAGAUACCCGGGUAGUCCCAGCCGUAAACGAUGCUAGCUAGAUGAUUCAUUCGCAAGUCGCGAAUGAAGUGUCGCAGGGAAGCCGUUAAGCUAGCCGCCUGGGGCGUACGGUCGCAAGACUGAAACUUAAAGGAAUUAAGGGGGAGCA
rnacentral:rRNA from 1 species